rnacentral:rRNA from 1 species
UGGCUAACUCCUACGGGAGGCAGCAGUGGGGAAUAUUGGACAAUGGGCGCAAGCCUGAUCCAGCCAUGCCGCGUGUGUGAAGAAGGCCUUCGGGUUGUAAAGCACUUUCAGCGAGGAGGAAGGGGUGAGUGUUAAUAGUACUCACCUUUGACGUUACUCGCAGAAGAAGCACCGGCUAACUCUGUGCCAGCAGCCGCGGUAAUACAGAGGGUGCAAGCGUUAAUCGGAAUUACUGGGCGUAAAGCGCACGCAGGCGGUUGGUUAAGUCAGAUGUGAAAGCCCCGGGCUCAACCUGGGAAUUGCAUUUGAAACUGGCCAACUAGAGUAUGUGAGAGGGGGGUAGAAUUCCAAGUGUAGCGGUGAAAUGCGUAGAGAUUUGGAGGAAUACCAGUGGCGAAGGCGGCCCCCUGGCACAAUACUGACGCUCAGGUGCGAAAGCGUGGGGAGCAAACAGGAUUAGAAACCCUUGUAGUCCAGCUGG